rnacentral:rRNA from 1 species
GACGAACGCUGGCGGCGUGCUUAACACAUGCAAGUCGAGCGGUAAGGCCCUUUCGGGGGUACACGAGCGGCGAACGGGUGAGUAACACGUGGGUGACCUGCCCUCAGCUCUGGGAUAAGCCUGGGAAACCGGGUCUAAUACUGGAUAUGACUCCAUGACGCAUGUUGUGGGGUGGAAAGCCUUGUGCGGCUGAGGAUGGGCCCGCGGCCUAUCAGCUUGUUGGUGGGGUGANGGCCUACCAAGGCGACGACGGGUAGCCGGCCUGAGAGGGCGACCGGCCACACUGGGACUGAGACACGGCCCAGACUCCCACGGGAGGCAGCAGUGGGGAAUCUUGCGCAAUGGGCGAAAGCCUGACGCAGCGACGCCGCGUGAGGGAUGACGGCCU